rnacentral:misc_RNA from 1 species
AAGUCGUAACAAGGUUUCCGUAGGUGAACCUGCGGAAGGAUCAUUCAUGUGAUUUUUAAACACCCAACUUUAUGUUAACGAAUAGUAACAAAAAGUGCUCAAAGUUCUGUGUUUUUCUUUUGUUGGCUGCGUUUUCUUUUACCUCAUUCUAUUUUCAAAGCACUCUAAAUUAAGGGUAACUUUUACCCAGAAAAUAGUUAAAGAAAUGAUAAAUGCUACCUUUAAUUUACACUAAAAUUCACCCAAAACCAUACCAUAAAAACAUGUAAAUUAUUACAACUUUUAACGAUGGAUCCCUCGGCUCUUA